AUUUAUUUAAUUUAUUUCUUUGAUUUUGAAAGUGUCAUUUCUCCCCGCGCCCUAGUUGCGUUCCCCCCCGUGUGUCAGUGUGUGUGUGAGACAUAAUUGAGCUCACUGCAAGCAUUUUGUUCUCAAUCAAAUGGCGAGGAUCAAACAUACCGCUAACAGGAAAGGAAAUCCAAGAAAAUCAGGUUCUAGAGGGGAAUCGUCAACUACACCUGCUCGGAGUGCGCGUCCUGGUGAAAGUCCGAAUACACCUGGAACUUCGGGAACACAGAGGCAGGCAAAGAAGCGGCACUAUAGGCCAGGAACAGUGGCUCUUCGUGAGAUUAGGCACUUACAAAAGACUUGGACGCUGCUCAUUCCCAUUGCUCCUUUUGUUAGAGUUGUAAAACAGAUAACCUUUCAAUUCUCUCCAGAUGUUAGUCGUUGGACAGCUGAAGCUUUAGUAGCACUGCAGGAGGCAGCAGAGGACUUUUUGGUCCAUUUAUUUGAAGAUGGAAUGCUAUGUGCAAUUCAUGCGAAGCGUGUAACUUUGAAUUGAACUUCCAUUCCGCUUAGAGAAUUGGAAAAGGCAUCUAUACCGUGUCAGUCCAGAUAAAAUGAUCUGUUUCUCAGUCCGAAAUAGCGAACCAAAUUUCACAAUAUAUUCAGAAAGAUCAGAGCUUCCUUCCCCCUUGAAAAAGGACAUUGAGUUGGCACGUCGGCUUGGAGGGAAAGGAAGGCCAUGGUGAGAGCAUUGUACAAGUAGCAAGACCAUUGUUAUUGAUUGUGAACAUUCUAGAGGGAAAUUGCAAUUGUUCUUUGACAGUAAUUACUUUUUGUAGUUUUAGCACUGAAAUUAGGAAGUAGGAAGCAACCUCACUUUUCUUUGAUGGUAUGCCAUAUCAUAUAAUACAGUUUGACCAGUAAGCAUGUGAUGGGAUACCGGCAUGUAGAGGUUACUAAAGUUAAUGAGAUGAAAUACAAAUUGGAGUGUUAAAUAUUUAA